rnacentral:rRNA from 1 species
GAUGAACGCUGACAGAAUGCUUAACACAUGCAAGUCAACUGUGUCGGACGGGUGAGUAACGCGUAAAGAACUUGCCUCCCAGAUAGUGCCAACAUUUGGCAACGAAUGCUAAUACCUGAUAAUGUGAGAGAGCUUUGCGUCCCAGUAGAUAGUUGGAGAGGUAACGGCUCACCAAGGAGAUGAUGGGUAGCCGGCCUGAGAGGGUGAUCGGCCACAAGGGGACUGAGACGCGGCCCUUACGCCAACGGGAGGCAGCAGUGGAGAAUAGUGGACAAUGGACCAAAGUCUGAUCCAGCACUUCUGUGUGCACGAUGAAGUUUUCGGAAUGUAAAGUGCUGUCAGUUGGGAAGCGGUACCAACAGAAGAAGUGACGGCUAAAUACGUGCCAGCAGCCGCGGUAAUAC